rnacentral:rRNA from 1 species
AGUCGAGGGGCAUCAGGACACUUCGGUGUUGCUGGCGACCGGCGGACGGGUGAGUAACACGUAUGUAAUCUACCUUGUACAAGAGGAUAGCUUCCGGAAACGGGAAUUAAUACUCUAUAAUAUCUAUAGAAUGCCUAUUCUCUAGAUUAAAGCUGAGGCGGUACAAGCUGAGCAUGCGCUCCAUUAGCUAGUUGGGGUAGGUAAAAGCUCCCCAAGGCGACGAUGGAUAGGGGUUCUGAGAGGAAGAUCCCCCACACUGGCACUGAGAAACGGGCCAGACUCCUACGGGAGGCAGCAGUAAGGAAUCUUGGUCAAUGGGCGGAAGCCUGAACCAGCCAUGCCGCGUGCAGGAAUAAAGCCCUAUGGGUUGUAAACUGCUUUUGUACGUGAACAAAAAUAUCUUUGCGAAGAUAAUUGAGAGUAGCGUAAGAAUAAGCACCGGCUAACUCCGUGCCAGCAGCCGCGGUAAUACGGAGGGUGCAAGUGUUAUCCGGAUUAACUGGGUUUAAAGGGUGUGUAGGCGGUUGUUUAAGUUGUUGGUGAAAUCCUGAUGCUUAACAUCAGAACAGCCGACAAUACUGAUUAACUAGAGAAAAGAAGAGGUAAGCAGAAUUCAUGGUGUAGCGGUGAAAUGCAUAGAUACCAUGAGGAAUCCCAAUAGCGAAGGCAGCUUACUGGUCUUCUUCUGACGCUGAGACACGAAAGCGUGGGUAGCAAACAGGAUUAGAUACCCUGGUAGUCCACGCUGUAAACGAUGAUCACUAGAUAUACAUAUGAUGUGUGUCCAAGCGAAAGCGUUAAGUGAUCCACCUGGGGAGUACGCUCGCAAGGGUGA